GAUGAACGCUGGCGGCGUGCCUAAUACAUGCAAGUCGAGCGAAUGGAUUAAGAGCUUGCUCUUAUGAAGUUAGCGGCGGACGGGUGAGUAACACGUGGGUAACCUGCCCAUAAGACUGGGAUAACUCCGGGAAACCGGGGCUAAUACCGGAUACCAUUUUGAACCGCAUGGUUCGAAAUUGCACGGCGGCUUCGGCUGUCACCUAUGGACGGACCCGCGUCGCAUUAGCUAGUUGGUGAGGUAACGGCCCACCAAGGCAACGAUGCGUAGCCGACCUGAGAGGGUGAUCGGCCACACUAGGACUGAGACACGGCCCAGACUCCUACGGGAGGCAGCAGUAGGGAAUCUUCCGCAAUGGACGAAAGUCUGACGGAGCAACGCCGCGUGAGUGAUGAAGGCUUUCGGGUCGUAAAACUCUGUUGUUAGGGAAGAACAAGUGCUAGUUGAAUAAGCUGGCACCUUGACGGUACCUAACCAGAAAGCCACGGCUAACUACGUGCCAGCCGCCGCAGUAA
rnacentral:rRNA from 1 species